GUUGGCUAAUGCGACUGCUGCUAGCACCAGUGCAAGUUGCCUAUGGUAGGAUACAGGACAUGUCCUUGCCUGCAAAAACUCAACCCUACUGUGUGCAUUCAAAUAGUUACUUCUAAAUGGUCUAAAGAGUACUAUUUCUAAAGGAGGUGAAUGCCUAUUCAUCCACAGAGGCCUCUGUUUUCCUACUGCACCUUUCUGAAGUAGCUUGGGAAGGAGGAUGGAGCUUCGGGCUUGGAGUCAUAGGAGCUAAGCAACUGCAGGCAGCCUUGGGGGCCAUGUGGUUUUCACAGGCUCUCUGGAGUCUCACUAUGCCAGAUUGGAACACUGAUGUACCGUAGACCACCUCGGCCUGAUGUCAUGGAGUCCUGUGAGCUCAGCUGUAGAAUGAGGAGGGCCACUCCUGAGGGAUUUUUUUUUCCCCCCUGCAGGAUGAUUGAGGAUUAAAUUUCAUGAUGUUUAUGUAGAGAACAAGGAGCACACCUAUUGGUUACAGGACAAGUCACUUAACUUUGCUGCCAUUGUUUCCUCAGAUCGAUUGACCUGUUGUUCCCUUCACUUCUUAAAGACGGAAGACCAGGCCCUCUGCCUUUUAAGGUAGUUGAGGAUAAAAAGUUAUUAAGAUUUGGUUAGAGAAGACAUUCACAAGGGUCUUGGUAGCUCAUUCCAGAGUUUUAGCACUAAAAUACAUGGCAACCUAUUGUAAUUC
rnacentral:lncRNA from 1 species